UCAAGGAAGAAGCAAGGGGAAGUUAGUACGGAAGAAAAAGCAAAAGCAAGAGCAGGUACUCCUAAGGGCAAGGGAGUAGUGAUCGGUGGAGUUUAAAGGCGCAGGAAGCUGGCGAUCUUUUGUGUAUAUAUAUUUUGCUAAAAUGCAUCUUAUUUUGAAGUGAAGAUAUAUUGUAUAUCUAUUUUGGUUUGUAAAUAUUUCUCCAUAAGGAGGUGGCUAAGGGCUGAUAAACCAUGGUAACUGCUAUUGAAAGAAAUGAUCAAUAUUUUGAUAUAUAGCUAUUAUUUUGUCUAAAAUUACGUGUAUCUGUAUAUGUAACUCGUUGUACGAGCCAAUGGCCAGAAUAUUGAAUGUUAGAUCCUACUGGCUAUAAUUGAUUUGAUAUGGGAUCCAAAAGGUUGGAUGGAAAAA